UAAAAGGCACAGAUGUUAUAGAACAGUCACAUUUCUUGAAUACAGAGAUCAUAUAAAUUAGAUAGUGAUUAAAAUUGGGAACAGCCAUUUUGCUGCUGCUUUAUUUGUCAGUGCUGACUCUUUCUUGACCAAACAUCUCUAUCUUUUCUGAUGCUGCACCACUAUGUGCUGGAGGAGUCUUUUCUGAACAGCUUUUCUUGUUUCUUCCCAUUUCUGUAGCUUCCACUAAAGUAUUAGUCAAUGGUUUUCCCAGUGUUUCUGGAAGCAUUAUGGUUAAGAUUCCACUCAGAAGAGCCAUGAUUCCAACAAGCAACUGGAAGAAAUAAACAGUAGGUGUAAAGGCGUGUUCACAGAGCUACAAUUCCCCUGCCACCUGGAAUCUCAAUUCACACUCCAACUCCUGUCUGCCUGUACCUGUGUGCUUGUUCCUUGUCUACACAGCCAGACUGGAAUUUCUCAAUAGGGCUCUUUGGCCCAGAGCCACAGAAGUGCACAUCUGUGCUCAGGAGAGCUCUUCAGCAUCUGCUAGCUCUCAACAGGAAUACUUUGCUAAACUCAGGUUCGAAGAACUGUGAGGAGUGCAGGCAUCUACUGACAUUUGCACUGAGAUCACAUUUUGGAUUUGUUCCAUGGUGUACACAAUUCCACAGCAGCACCAUAAGUGGUGCAAGGAUCAGGAUAAUGUGGGGUCAGUAGAGAAAUACUCACUUGUUCCAGGAAUAUCUACUCUUUCCAUUCACAUUCCCUUCACACAGACAUUUCUAUUUCUUGUUCAAUGACACCAAUUCCCACUUUGCUCCUCUGAGUACAGAACAGCAUUAAACCCCUGACAGUCCUCCAACACCAGGUUAUAAUGACCUAAUUCUCUCCUGAUAGAAAAGCUUUCACACAGAACAUCCCGCCUGGUCUCAGUGUUUUUCCAUUCUGUGACUGUGAACUUUGAUGCUGUACUAUCCUUAUCUUGCCCUGUGCUGAUUCUGAAGUCUGUCCUUUGCUCAAUGCAUUCUUUCCAAGGGUGAGAGAGAACAUUUGGAAUCACUGUGCCUACAUCUCAUACAGAGCUUGAGACAAGAGCUGCCCAGCUACCAUCUGCAGCUAAGCCAGACUUUAAGUCAGGAAGGUGCUUUAAAAUCAGAAUUCCCUACUGUAACCUUGAACAGUGCUAUUUGCCUGCCUAUGCACCAUGCUGGUUUUGCUUCUCUUCCCUUCCAAAAAAAAGAGGCAUUUGUUUCGUGUAUUCUUUUGAGAAGCAAAAUGCAGUGUUGCUUACCCUCCUUUUUGCUUUGCAAUAAAUAUAGAGGCCAGACAAAAAAAAAAAAAAAAAAAAAAACUGCUAAAUACUACAAACUACAGUGAAAAUAAAAGUCAUGGUCUUACCAUGAAAGUUUAAAAAAACCCAAAUCCUAGCAGUAAGAGGACUAGAGGAAAUGGCACAAACUGAAUGAGAUCCUUUUAGACAUGUAUGUGGCAGGAAUGAUACUUAAAAAUAUAUUCCAAAAUACUAAAAUCUCAUUUCUGAGUGUCAAAUUUCUUCUCUACUAUUCAGACAUGAUUUUCUGACACGGAAAGACAAGAUAAAUUGACACAUGGCAGCUAUUCCAUAACAUCCUCUUUUAUGUACACCCUUUAGUCUGUCAGAAGUUUAUAACUGAGGAUAUUUGGGUCUGUAAUGGAUAUUGAAUCUUAGGGACACCCAUAAAUUUGGAGUGUAUGAGAACUGGGUCACUAGUGGUACUCAAAAGAACAAGCUUAAAGUAACACUGUGUGCUUUGAAUAUGUGUGUCUUUUCUCUUUUCAUUAUUCUUUUUAGACACUUGGCAUUCUUCUCAUGUUUUCCCUCCUCAUGAACCUACCUCUCAUUAUUCCCCUGAGAACUCUCACUAUUCUGUAAGUGUACACACCACCAUCUUUCCUGCUUUUUAUCUCAGCUCUCAUAACUCUAUUUCAUCCCAUGUUAGUUUCCUUUUUUUAACCCCUCUUGUAUGAAAGCUGCUGCAUGCUGAGUAAUGCUGCAUGCUGCAUGCUGCAUGCAUUCAGUACAUUUCCCUUCUCCCUGACCCUCAAACCCUUUUCCAGUAUUUCCUACAACACACAGAGUAUGAAACAAUCAAGUCACAGUGUAUUAAUUCAACGACAUCUACCUUUUCAAGGGCAGUAGCCACAGUUAUCAAUGAAGGAACUCACAUUUGGUAAAUGCAACUCUUUUGCAGUCUUGGCACACUUCUUCAUAAGCAUCUGACAUAAUUUAACCCUCACUACAAAGGUAUGCAUUUUGCAUGUAUGUAUUUACUACUUUAAAUACAGAAUUCAGUAUCAGAAAAUAUUCUCCUGGUAUAGUCAAAUGCUUAUGUGUACAAAUAAAGUGUAUUUGUGUUAUUGAAGAAGGUAUUUAAGUAUGUUGAAGUUAAUUUGACAGUUAUACGUGGUUAAAUGCAUUGUGUUUUCAGGGUGUUAAUUUGAAAUCUGACUUCUUGCUUAGUCAAACUCUUAAGAGUGUCCCCCAACAUUUCAGUACAAUCAGUAGGUUCUAACAGAUACCAUAGAAACCUUCAGAAAAUAUGUACCAUUAUUUUUCUUAUGUCCUCUUCCCUUUCUGGACCAGCAUUUAUAAUUCUGCAGUGAUCUGAGACUAGGACUUGAUAGAUAUACUCCAGAAGAAAAGAUAAUUCGAAUUAAAUAUCCCUACAAAAUAAUACCUUUACUUCUGAACACAAAUUAUUAUUAUAGUUUGCUAUUUAUGUUUAUAUUCACAUCUGAUGCCUCUGAACCAAUCUAAAAUGUGAUCUUAUUGACAAAGUUCUUACUUCAACAAAAAAAGGUUAUAUUUCGACACAAAAAACCAGUAGUAUUUGACUGAGGGUUUGUAAUCAUUUAUUAACACCAGUGUGGACUUUUUAAAUUUCUAAUUUAUGUUUUUUCUGAGAGAAAAAUCAACCCUGUUAAAGAGCUAUUGCAACAUAACUCUUAACAGCUGAGAAACAGAAAUAGGUUAUAUAAGGAGUAGUUGUUUUACUGCACAUUUUCUAUAAAGUUGUCACAUGAAAAACAUAUUUGGCAAGUUAUUAAAUUUAUAGACUUAUUGAAGAUUUAUAGCCACUCAAGAUGCUUGCAGUACUCACAGGUGGCAUAACUGUGCAUGAGGCAGAGUGCCAAACAAACAGCAGUAGUAACUGUUCAACAGUGUGUGUGUUUGCAAUAGAUCAGGGUGAUGUGGAUCAGUUUACUUACAAAUGUAAUCCAUUUGAUUUCACUUCCAUUCCAAAACACUUACUUGACCUGAGAUUUGGCACGCUAUGCUCUAACUCAAGACAAGCCUAUUUAAUAAGUUGACAAAUGCUCCAUAACAGGAGCUAAUAAUGGAAACGUUCACUGUGAACUACUACUCAACUCUACAAAAACUCUGGAUAACUUUUGUACCCUGAGAGUGGUUCAUAGCUGAAAUAAUUCCUGUGCUUAUACUGCCAUUUGCACUGCUCUCCAAAACAUUUGAGCAGUUCCCCAUCUGUGGUUUGACUGCAGCACUUCUGCACAGAUAAAUCUUAUUUCAGAGUAAAGGCAAAAUGCUGACAAGAGGAAAAAAGAAAUGUUUUCCCAUGACCACUCUGCUGUGCAAAUGUUUCUUUGUCUUUUCUGGGAUCAUAUAUUGGUGGAGAAAUUGUUAAGAGAGAAAACAUUUUUAGGAACUUGAAUAAAUAAAUUCAUUUGUGGUCUCCUUCA